GAAUAUUGGACAAUGGGCGAAAGCCUGAUCCAGCCAUGCCGCGUGUGUGAAGAAGGUCUUCGGAUUGUAAAGCACUUUAAGUUGGGAGGAAGGGCAGUAAGCGAAUACCUUGCUGUUUUGACGUUACCGACAGAAUAAGCACCGGCUAACUCUGUGCCAGCAGCCGCGGUAAUACAGCGGGUGCAAGCGUUAAUCGGAAUUACUGGGCGUAAAGGCGGGGGAGGUGGUUCGGUAAGUUGGAUGGGAAAUGCCCGGGCCCAACAUGGGAAAUGCAUCCAAAACUGGCGAGCUAGAGUAGGGCAGAGGGUGGUGGAAAUUCCUGUGGAGCGGUGAAAUGCGUAGAUAUAGGAAGGAACACCAGUGGCGAAGGCGACCACCUGGGCUCAUACUGACACUGAGGUGCGAAAGCGUGGGGAGCAAACA
rnacentral:rRNA from 1 species